GUUUUCAGAGAAGAAAAGAUGUUCAUUUUAAUAUUUAACACUAAAAAGAGCUAGUUUCAAAUAAAAGUGUACAAAUACCAUUUUCAAACUCAGUUUUAAUGUACAUUAGAAGAUGCCUAGUGGUUA